CCUGGUUGGAACGAAGACGAGCUGGUGUGUGGGGAGACAAUAUUUGAACCCAGCUCUUCGUCGCUGCAAGCCAUGGAGCUAGGUGGUGCAUUGGAGAGCGCGGUGGACCUCGAAACAGGAAGAACGAAGUUCAGAUUCAGCCUCAGACUCUGGCUAGCCGUGUGACCCUGGAUGAGGAAACUGAGUAACAGAGCAGAGACUAGAAUCUAGGCCAGCCCCUGGGUAAUGUCUUUUUCCACUACCAAGUACCUCAGAUUUUAAUUCUCCAGACUUAGGUCUGGUUGGUAUUGUGAUGCAGAAGAAUCUGAAAAUCAAAAAAUAUGGGUUUGACAAACAUAUGAUCUCUGCUUCAGGGCCUUUUGGCAUCAAAAGGAGAAACUUGCUCAUGGUUGGUUCCUUUGGUUUUUAAGAAGUCAUAAUAAUAACUCACAUUUGUAUAAUGCUUUGAGGAUUACAAAGUUUUAUGCAAAAUGAAAUUAGUAGAACCAGGAGAACAUUGUACACAGUAACAGCAAUAUUGUAAGAUGAUCAACUGUGAAUGACUUAGCUAUUC